UACGGAGGGAGCAAGCGUUACUCGGAAUUAUUGGGCGUAAAGGGCGCGUAGGCGAUUUGAUAAGUCACGUGUGAAAGCCCACAGCCUAACUGUGGAAGUGCACGUGAUACUGUUGAAUUUGAGUUCAGGAGAGGAAGGCAGAAUUCCCGGUGUAGCGGUGAAAUGCGUAGAUAUCGGGAGGAAUACCAGUGGCGAAGGCGGCCUUCUGGACUGACACUGACGCUGAGGCGCGAAAGCCAGGGGAGCAAACGGG
rnacentral:rRNA from 1 species